AAGUCGUAACAAGGUUUCCGUAGGUGAACCUGCGGAAGGAUCAUUAACACGUACUUAUAUCCAAUAUAAACCAAACGCGAACCAUCAAUCUCCCGACCUGUCAUUGACAGGUUGGCUACCCUCGUGUUCCUACUAUGUACUAGUAGUAACACUUGUACCCCAUAUUUUUACCCCUCAACAACACACAUCUAUCAGUCUUCUCUAUUCAACUUGUUUGUAUAAAGAACUGAACCUUAACAUAAGAGGCAGAGUCUUCUCUGCUUGUUUUGAUUCCUUAAUGGACUCAAUAAUACAAUAGUGUAAAACACAACUCUUAGCAAUGGAUAUCUAGGUUCUC
rnacentral:misc_RNA from 1 species